rnacentral:lncRNA from 1 species
CUGGUCCCGGGUUUUGUCAGUCCUUGUUAUCCCAUCGAUCUGGCACAUUAACCUGGUAUCCUAAUAUCCGAGGCCCUUAAGUCUCUUCCAUGUCCCUUCCGCAGCUCUUCUUCAUAUUUAUAACUGUAUUUUCCCUUGUCUCCUGCUCGUUUCACUCGUGGGAACUCCAGCUUAGCAAUAUUUUUGACCCUUCUCGACAGAUCAGCCCCUUUUCCAUACUCGACACUAAAUUCCAUGUGGUAUUUAAAAACAUGUUUCAAAAUCCCUCCAAAAUUGAGAGCCCCCACAAUCCCAAACAUCUCACGGCCCAUUGCCAGACUUGAAAAGUCCAAACAUCCCUGCAUAGGAGGGUCUAUCCAACCCCCCAUUUCCAAACCAAACCAAACUUUAUCUUUCCAAAUCUGGCUUUUUCCAAGUUCAUUUGUCAAAUCCGAAAGUUCAUAUUCCUGUUGGGCCUGUUCUGUCAGGGCAUACUCCUGAUUUAAUUCCUGGGUGGGCUCCACAUAUUUUCCAACUGCCUGUUCAAAAUUUCCCACUGCCUGUUCAAAAUUUCUAAUCGAAUCAGCCAUCAAAUUCGUCUUCUCAUGUAGCUGUUCCAGUAGGGCGUUUGUUUUAUAGAAAGCACACAACAGAGCUUCUGAAUACAUUGUCCUGAAGGUCAGAUGUCUAUUCCCACGAUUGUAAUCUGUAACAGCUCCCAGCUCCCAGGAGUUGGUUACAGUUUCACAGUCUCCCUCUAGGGGGAAAACUUCUAUUUGAUCUUUCUUUUAAAGACAAGUCUAGCAACAGAGUUUCCUUUUUUCAGAUAUUUUGUCAAUGUUUGUUCCUUUAAGGUGCGAAAGGAAACAAUGGAAUUACUAUGUUUCUCUUCUUUUAGCUAUCUGUCAAAAGCGUUUGCCUCUGGUCAAUGAGCUUCAAACGUCAGUCCUGACACCCCACUCCAGGGUCAGGACGAUGGAAAGUUACUUUACUUUAAACUCACUUCUGCAGGUUUAAACAGUCCAGAAAAGAUCCCCCUUCUUCUCCUGCUGCCGAAGGGGGGUUCAACAAUUUUAAAUGAUGAAAGCCAAUCCUUUAAAAGCGAUUUUCUGAGCUCUAGUUUACGUUGUCUUUGCUUUAUUCUGUCUACAAAGAAAUGGAAGGCUGACUUCCUGUUUAGACCUUCCCGUUUCAGUACCAAAUUGAAAUAAAAUUUUUAAGUCCAAUUCCUUUCUGGUCGCAAGUCCUUAUUUAAAGUCCAAUUGUUCAAAGUUUAAGUACUCACGGGUGCUUAUUUUAGAAGCCAAAUUGUCCCAGGAAAAAGGCAGCGCUCUCCGGCAACGGCUGUGCGGCUUCGCUCCACGGAAAUAGCAGUUGACUCACAGCACCGCGCCACUUCCCCCUCUUCGCUUCGGAGCCCAUUAGUGGGUUCCUUUGCGCGUUGGGGGGGGCGCUAAGGGUGCCCGCUGAGUCCCAUGGUCACAGGCUUCAUCCGCCUGUGAUUUUUUAAAAGGGUCCCCGCUUCACCGUAGCGGAAAAGACCCAUUUCGCGCGGAGCUAGUCCCUCCAAUUCAGAGGGAGUCCGCCAUUGCCGAUGGCGCCACCCUGGAAGUCUCGCCAACCUUUUUGAGCUAAUAGGAACACCUGGAAUUUCCUCCUCCAUCCCUACAUUGGGAAUUUUGAGACGGUGCCGUGGAUGCCAGUCAAAAUGGCUGUCCUGAGGGGGGAGGGCAUGGCAUAGCACAAAAUGGCUGCCCUGAAGACGUAGCAUAAUCGAUACCACAUCUAAAAGAGCAGAAAAAGUAACAAGGCCACAAAGUGGUGUGGGAAUUCCUGCCCCUCAGUCAGCUAUCCCAUGAAUGGUGGGAUGGGGAGGCUCUUUCCAUCUGUCCUUUGUUCAGAAGAGGGUAGGUAUCCAAUCUUGGCAUCCAGUUAAAUGUGGGCAUAUUUAAGGGUUGUGUGUGUUCAGUGUAGGAGAGGCCCAUUCAGUACAAACAGGAAUUGUGUAGGAAGAGCAGAUAGCCUCUCGUAUAUUGUGGAUUUUUGAAGGGAUAUUUAACAGACCUUCGACUGGGCACUAUAGGUGGUACUAUUGGCCAUCCUGGCACCCAUAGGUGCCAUGUUGAUAACCUCUGACUUAAGAUAUUUAAAAUGCGCUGAAUGAAUACAAAAAUAUGUUCUGAAGGGAAAUUUCUGUAGGAUGAUGUCAAGCAGGUAGUUAGAAAACACAUUUUAAAAGCCUCUUCCAGUAUUUAAUACGAGCUACUAUUUCCAAAUUCCACUUUUUGUGAGCGAAAUCAGGCAUGUUCAUAUACACAGCUCAUAUACAAAUGCAUAGUCAUAUACAAAUGCUCGUCACCUUCUGAAUUCCCUUCUUGAGACAAAAGUUUUGUUGAAGUUCUCAAUUGGAUGGGGAUUUGUUUUAAUUUUGGGGUUUGUGGGAAGGAUAGGGCUUGGCGAGAGCAAAGGGAAGACUUGACUAUCAUUUUACAAGAAAGGGAAGAAUAUUUCUUUU